rnacentral:lncRNA from 1 species
CAUCACUGUAUACAUACUACUAAAAAGCUUAUAAAAAUCGGAUAGCAAUGCAUGCUAAAAGUUAUAUAUGUAGACCAAUGAUUACGAGUGAUGAUAAUUAAGAAUUAACUAUAUGUGGGGGAAAGGAUGCAACAUCGAGCUCUCUCUAUUCUCUUUCUCGCUUAGUUUUCACCGUCGUUCUCUUCCGGCAUCGGCUGGCCGUUCGCCUGUGUCGGAGAUCCCCUCUUUCCCACCGUUCGCCUGUGUCGGAGAUCCCCUCUUUCCCUUCCCUCGUUUUCCUUUUGCCCCUUGGUGGUCCUCUUCUCCUCUCCCGAUAUGCUCGGGGCUCUGGGGGUCGUAGCCGUCCAUGUAUCUUAG